rfam:Camelus ferus unplaced genomic scaffold scaffold765, whole genome shotgun sequence.
GAGGGUAUAGCUCAAAUGGUAGCGUAUAUGCCUAGCAUGCAUGAGGUCCUGGGUUCAACCCCCAGUACCUCCA